UAUAACUCAGAUUGUGUUCAUCAGAAAGAAGAGUCAUAUACACCUAGUUGAGGGUGAGAAAAUCAUGGGCUAAUUUUCAUUUGAAAAUGAACUAAUCCUUUAAAGAAAUAAAAAUAAAAAGUAAAGCCAUCUGUAAUACCAUACUGUAGCCACUAGAUGUCUGUAUAGCCUUUUGACGGUGUAAUCUGGAGUUGGUGAAACAAGACACGAUUGCUUAGUUGUUUUUUUUUUGUUUUUGAGUACUUUAUUUAUAGGUAUUUAUGACAUAGUAUACAAAGAAAACCAACAAAAAUGAACAUAACAUUCUACAGUACUUCCCAUUUCCCAUCGCGCGGCUUAACUAUAAGAACACAGCUAACAGUACAAAGACAUCCGACAUUCAACACAACAGAUGUGUAGCAGCACUAUGCAUUCACAAGGUAUAAAGUACAUAUAUUAUAAAAGGUAUAGCAAUAAUAAAAAUAAUUAAGAAAGUAAAUAAAGAGCAACUCAAUAACUGAAAGGACUCGAUGACCUUAUACCUGCCUCAAACUGCCCAGUUUUCCAAAGUUGUGACUGACGUGAAAGGUUUUAAAACAAAAAGUGACAUAUCAUCAGAAAAAUAAAUAAAUAAAAAUAAAAUGAAAAACUAUAAAAUCACCUCACAAACAAAUAUAAAGGAAAAGAAGAAUAUAAAAUCUGUAGGUGCCCAUGUGGUCAGGUGUCCUCUGAAAAUUGCAAAUCAUCAAAAUAUACUAAGAAAGGUGACCAUGUUUCAAAAAAAAACUUGCUUUUAGAACCUCGAACAGUGAAUUUGAUUUUUUUCUCAGGUUUUUUCCAAUGAAGAAGAAUUAAGCGUCUUGCCAACAGUGUGGUAAAGGCGAUUGAUUACCUUAUAUAUUCUUUCCUUAAGCACAAUAUUUUCAGGACUAGUACCAAAGACAGCAAGCAGGGGGUCAGGGUCAAUAGAGACACCAUGCAUUCACUAAAUAUCUUUCCAAAACCCCUCCGGUUUUGGGCAUGACCAAAACAUAUGGGCUGUUGUGGCUGGUGAGAGUUGGCAUCUGUUACACGCAGGACUAAUAUUAGGAUAGAUCCUAGCUAAUGUUGAAUUUGUGAAAUGCAACCUGUGAAGUAUUUUAAAUUGGAUGAGGGCAUGUCUGGCACAGGAUGAUGAUGAAUGUGCUUUGUCUAAAAUACCACUCCACUCUAUAUCAGUAAAGUCUCUACCAGGGUCAAGUUACCAAGAGUUUUUAACAAAAUCUGUGCUAUGUGGACCACGAUUGCUUAGUUUUAAUAGUUUUUUUUUUAAAUUGAUAGUUAAAUAAAGAACUUUUAAUAUUGCUCUUCACCUGACUUUAUUUACACACGUGACCCUGAAGGAAUCCAAAAGUAAUCAGAUUACAUUACUUUCAUAUUGCAGUGCUUGGAUUACGUUACUGAAUACUUCGUUAUGAAGUCAUUUGUAACUGUAACGGGACACAUAUUACAGUAACCCUCCCAUCUCUGUCUCCACAGUACUGAGGACACUGUGACACUGCAGAUUCCUCUGAGAUGAACAAAUGUUGCUGAGCAUUACAGCCAAUCACAGUGUGUCUGUAGAGCACAUGACUGCAUCAUUUGGAUCAGUCUCUGGAGCAGAAGCAGUCAGCUGUAGAUGUAUUCGGCACUCGUUCACUGACGUUCUGCUCUCCUCAUAAACCAGAGCAGAUACUGAGAGACUCUUAGAGCAGUGCAGUCGGCUUCAUUCACCACAACGAUCAUAACUAAAGUCAUUGACCGCUGGGGAACGUUCUUUGCUCACUUCCUGCACACAAUUUAUUCCCAGCUUGAAUAACCGUUUUGUUUUUCCUGCUGCUGCUGAAAGUGAACCAAUGUGAGGUCUUGAUUUACUAAUAAACCAGCUUGUUUCGUCUGUUUCCCCAAACACUAAAAUGUUUUUAAUGUAUCUUUUAAUGAUUUUUGUCAUAAUCUUGCGGCUCUAAACUGUAAUGUGUGUGAGAUUCUGCUCUGACCCUCCUGAGGUCAGUUCUGUGUGAAUAAAGAGAAUAAAUCAGAGAA